rnacentral:rRNA from 1 species
UACGUAGGGGGCAAGCGUUGUCCGGAAUUAUUGGGCGUAAAGAGCGUGUAGGCGGCCCGGUAAGUCCGCUGUAAAAGUCAAAGGCUCAACCUUUGAAUGUCAGUGGAUACUGCCGGGCUAGAGUCCGGAAGAGGCGAGUGGAACUCCUGGUGUAGCGGUGGAAUGCGCAGAUAUCAGGAAGAACACCAACGGCGAAGGCAGCUCGCUGGGACGGUACUGACGCUGAGACGCGAAAGCGUGGGGAGCGAACAGG